rnacentral:rRNA from 1 species
UACAAGCGCUUGUGAACAUACCUAUAACUGUUGCUUCGGCGGGUAGGGUCUCCGCGACCCUCCCGGCCUCCCGCCUCCGGGCGGGUCGGCGCCCGCCGGAGGAUAACCAAACUCUGAUUUAACGACGUUUCUUCUGAGUGGUACAAGCAAAUAAUCAAAACUUUUAACAACGGAUCUCUUGGUUCUGGCAUCGAUGAAGAACGCAGCGAAAUGCGAUAAGUAAUGUGAAUUGCAGAAUUCAGUGAAUCAUCGAAUCUUUGAACGCACAUUGCGCCCGCCAGCAUUCUGGCGGGCAUGCCUGUUCGAGCGUCAUUUCAACCCUCAAGCUCUGCUUGGUGUUGGGGCCCUACAGCUGAUGUAGGCCCUCAAAGGUAGUGGCGGACCCUCUCGGAGCCUCCUUUGCGUAGUAACUUUACGUCUCGCACUGGGAUCCGGAGGGACUCUUGCCGUAAAACCCCCAAUUUUCCAAAGGUGACUCGAUCA